CUCCCAGGUGUUUGCAGAAGAAGGACAGAAUUUGCUUCCAAGCAUCUACUUGGGCCCUGGAAUGAGGCCUGGGCUGCCCACCCCACAUCACAGAUCCAUUGAUGGAAACUGUGGCUGAGACAUUCUUCAAGAAUGAGGCCAUCGAGAGACAAAUAUCAGCCCCUAGAGAAAUGCCCAAAAGCCCGAUGCCUGGGCCUUUGACCUGGAGGAAAAGAAGAGAGAAGAGUCAAGAACUUAUCCAACACAAAAAUAUAUUUCUGAAAUACAACUAGAGAUGCUACUAGCAUUAAGCUGGGAAUUAUCCAUAAGAAAAUCAACCUCAUCUGACAGUGGAGUUUCUUCUUAUUAAAUAUAUGGCUGAACACAUGGUAAACAAA